UUUUUGCGUUAGGGAUAGAGGUGGUAUCCUUUUUUAAUUUUAGCGAUAGCAAAAAUUUAAAAAGAUAUAACGGAUAGCCCGACCUUUG
rnacentral:sRNA from 1 species